AGCCCUCCGAAAACUGGUGAAUGACCAGCAGAAUAACUGGGAUCUGUAUCUAGAUCCCACCCUGUUUUCACUGCGGUCAAAAGUACACACCACAACAAAAUACUCACCUUUUUUUCUGAUGUAUGGAAGAGAGGCAGUAUUUCCAUCAGAAGUGCCUGCUCAAGUGCCGAUUUCCAACAUCAUUCUGCCAGACGACAAAAGGUACAGUGACUAUGUACAGUCUGAAAGUGAAGCACAACAUGCAGUUAAAGAAACUGCGCAAGAAAACAUUGCGAAGUCACAAGACAAGCAAAAGGUUGCAUACGCCAAGCAGGUCCUGAAAAAGUACAAAAAUGUUGUGUACAAUGUAGGGGAUCAAAUUCUGCUUCUAAAUAUGAGGAAACGUGGGCGAAAAGGAGGAAGACUUGAACCGGAUUUUUCAGGUCCCUACACAAUUGAUGACAUCAGUGGAAAAUGUGUUGGACCGAAAAACGCUGAGGGAAAUACUUUAAAAAGUCUAUACAGUAUUGACCACAUUAAACCUUAUAGAACAAGCCACCCUGUCCAAGUCUCAACUCCAACUGAACCUGUUGAGAGUAGCCCAUCUUCUGAGAUGCAGCCUUGCAGUCCUCAGCAUCAUCCUGAAGCGCUGCAAAAUAACAGACCCUCUGUCAUACAGUUUGCACCAAAAAUAGCUCAGGUAAAAUCAGUCCAAGCACCAGAAGAGCUUGUACCAGUGACCCCCCAGAAACCCAGCACGUAAGAAAAAGGUGGCAUAGCUAAAAAUCUCAUUCUGACCGGUUGGUCAAUUGUUGCCAGUUUGGCUAGUCGAAUGGAUAGAAUUUUUUUUUUUCUCCCCUCUUGCUAAUUUUGACCUGUUGGUCCAAUUUUGGCUAAUUUCUCCCCUCUGGCAUGGUUAUUUUGUUGGCCCGUUGGCCCUUGUCUGUUUGUGGCCCGUUGGCCAUUGACCGUGAUUUUCAAAUGGCAACUGUUAUUACUAAAGAAACUUAUCAUAUUUUGUUUUUUAGUGAAGUGGCUUUGGGCUGCAAAAGACACCGGGCGUGUGGAGGCAGUCGUUGGGCCAUACAAAUUGUAUGACUCUUCUUUUCGCACACUGGAGGACAGUGGGUGGCUUUCUGAUGAGGUCAUUGAUGGAUACCUGCACUGCCUCAUUAGGAAACAAAAGGCA